ACGUGAUAGUAGCAUUUUAGCACGGCAUCCAUGCCUUGUUUUGAAGUUCAGGAAACCAUGUUUUCCUUUUACCCAAAUCCCUUUCUUUCUUUUACUUGCAAAAACUAGCCUUUUCAGCAACUAAACAAUAGGCGCGUAUUCUGAAAGUCCUUGAAUACACUUGCAAGUUUUAAAAGAUACAAACCCCGCUGGGAAAGGGAGUGACAUAACCCAUAAAUUUGCCCUUUGUGGAAUGUUAUCUAGAAUCCAUGUUUUCCAUUGUUCAAUUCUCACAUGUAAUCAAUGUCUUUUAUUGUUUGAUCACUUGCUUUAUGACGUAUCACAUAUACCAAAUGUAUGUAUCGUUUGUUUCUGCACCCUAUAAAAGGUCUUCGCCCCCCUUAAUAAAGGCUUUUUGCUUUUGCCUGAA